rnacentral:rRNA from 1 species
CCUACGGGGGGCAGCAGGGAGGAAUAUUGGUCAAUGGACGAGAGUCUGAACCAGCCAAGUAGCGUGAAGGAUGACUGCCCUAUGGGUUGUAAACUUCUUUUAUAUGGGAAUAAAAUGUUCCACGUGUGGGAUUUUGUAUGUACCAUAUGAAUAAGGAUCGGCUAACACCGUGCCAGCAGCCGCGGUAAUACGGAGGAUCCGAGCGUUAUCCGGAUUUAUUGGGUUUAAAGGGAGCGUAGGUGGAUUGUUAAGUCAGUUGUGAAAGUUUGCGGCUCAACCGUAAAAUUGCAGUUGAAACUGGCAGUCUUGAGUACAGUAGAGGUGGGCGGAAUUCGUGGUGUAGCGGUGAAAUGCUUAGAUAUCACGAAGAACUCCGAUUGCGAAGGCAGUUCACUGGACUGCAACUGACACUGAGGCUCGAAAGUGUGGGUAUCAAACAGGAUUAGAUACCCCAGUAGUC